UUGACAUUUACCUAGGCACAGCUCACAGGCAUGAUAAUGACUCUCAUAUGUGGACCCCACAAGUAGGAGUAAUUUUGACUCUUGUAACUUGCUUUAGAAACAUAAGUGAUGUCUUAGAUCUCUUUCUGGCGAAAAGGUCACAGAAGAUUAUAACAGCCUCAGAUAAUUUGCAGCCCUUGGCUUGUACAGAGAGUGUCAGAACAGAACCCAGCAGAAAGGAGAAAUUGUGAGUCUCAUAUGUACACCCAGCUGACUGUAAGGACUGUCACCAUCUUACAUACAUGAAGCCAACUGUCACACAUGAAAAGAGGACAUGUGUGGUAUUGUAAAUCUCAUCUCGAAUAUUCUCUCAGUGUGACUGUGAUAUAAAUCUUUGCCAAGCAUCUGUGUGAUUUGACUCUCCAAACUGGUUCCAGCCCAUAUAUACGGGAUUGUGAUCUCUACCUGGGCCAACCUCUAGAUAAUGUGACUCUCCUGCCUGGGCCCUUCUCUCAGUAAGGGUUGUGACAUAUCACUGGAUCUAACACCCAAGUGAUGUUACAUUCUUGCCUGGACCAUGCACAGAGACAUCAUUGUGACAUAUCACUGUGUCCACCACUUAGGUGAUGUAACUCUCCUCUCUGGAAUGGACCCUGAAUACGGAGUGGUAGUGACAUCUUCCUAGGCCAGACACACAGGUGUUGGUACUCUUUUUCCAGGGCUAUGUUUCAAGGAGGGCAUUGUGACAUAUCUCUGGACCUAUCACCGAGGUGAUAUGAUUCAACGCUUGGGCCUCACCGACGUAGAACAUUGUGACAUAAAAGUUAAACCUGCACCAAAGGUGUUGUAACUCUUUCACCUUGGUCCUGUCCUAAGGGAGCCCUGCAACAUAUCUCAGGACCCAGCACUCAGGAACAUUGUGACAUCGUUGGACAUAGCAUCUAGGAAAUGUGACUCUUCUCUCCUGCCUAGGUCCUGCCCACUAAAGGAAUUGUGACAUACCACUGAGUGCAAAACCUAGCCCUGUCUACAGUGGACAUGGUACCACAUGACUUGAGGCUGUAUCCAGGCCAUGACCAUAGAUGAAAUUUUGACAUACGUGGACCAUACACCUAAGCGAAGGUGCCUGGGCCUGCCUACAAAGGGCACUUUUACGUAUUACUAGGACCAGCACGCAGCUGGGUGUCAUACAUUUCGGAGAGCAUAAAGUAUACAUUCUCACAGAGACAGGAGUUCAAAAGUUGCCUGGUCCUCAGAAACAACUGGCUAGGUAAAAACUUGUGCAUGUGAUUCUGGAUAGGGGGUCAGCGCCUGUCUGUUGGUUAAGCAAUCUGUCUUUUGUUUGCCAUCUGCCUCUGUGGUGGGCUGUUUCCUGAGUCUUUACUUCCAUCUUGACUGAGGUGGUCCACUUUGCAGAGCCUUCUGCUGUUGUGCUGUUUUACCUCAGUCAGAAUUGCCUGAAUUUUUCUCUGAGCAACCUGGCAAGCAUAGAAGUGACCAGUUAUUUUGACAACCACUUGGUCAUUCUCAUCAGGUGUCUGGUCAUGAGGGACAGCAACUUCUGCACUUGACAAAUUCUGAAGUUUAUUCACCGUUUUGCCUCCUUUUCCAAUAACUCCGCCAGCAACAAAGGAUGACACUGUGAUAUAAGCUUCAAGUUUAACCUCUUCUUUAGGACUAACAAAAUUUUCUUCUUUAGUUUUUCCAUAAAUUCUUCCCUGAGCCUUGAAGUGAGCCUCUGGUGGUCCAGUGAUCAUUACCAUCCUCACUUUAGCAUCUGGUGCUUCUGCUGGAGCAAUGUUAAUUGAAGCUCCGGCAAAGCGAGAAAGCUGCUUGAUGUGCUUGGCCCUGCUUGCCGAUGAUGACACCGACUGAUAGAGCCUGGAUAAACAGAUGAACAGUCUCCGUUUCUGAUUGCUCAAACUGCGGCUUUGGCACAUGCCUCAACAUUGCCUUUAACUGUAAUGGUGCGUUCUGGAUUAUACAGCGUCAAUUCCUGAAAGCACCUUGAUGGCCUUGAGGGCCCAGCUCUCCUCUGGGCAGUCCAUGAACGCAUAGCCAGUCUUCACCAGGAAGGAUCCCAACACUGGGAUCUUGGCGUCCUUGAAGAUACUUUCUAGGUCCAAGGGGACGGCGUUCUCGUGGAGGUUUCCGAUAUACAGUUUGUUCAUUGUGAAGAAUGGUUGUUUAAAAAAAUUAACGAGAAGAACGAGAAAUUAAAACCACCCAUGGUGAUGGAUGGAUCCAGCUGGUUUUGUUGCUCUCAUCUUCUCACCUUUAAAAUACACAAACACAGAAAGAACCAAGCACAAGAACAAGGAGUGAAAAAUCAGAUCCGAGGCUUGUUUUUCCUUGUCCUAGAUAUGUUUUAAAAGAGAAAGAAAAGAAAAAGCCUAGCUACAACCCAAAUGCAUCAACCAGUCUUCCUAAGUCUCGCUUUUGAAUAAUUUUCAAAUGAGAUGUACACCUAAAUUUUAAGAGUGUUUGAGUUUGUGUUUGCUUUAGUGGUGCUUUAUAUCUGUCUGAUUGUAAGCAUAAUGUUCAUGGAAAGAGACUUUUGGUAGGAAUCAAACUGGGACUCUUACAAUGGCUUAAGUCCAUCAGAAUAGUUCUGAUGCUACUUAGGAGCAUCAGAACUCCUUUCUUUGCCUGAUUUUUCAACUUAUUUCUUAAUUGGAACCCCAUAAAGAACAUGAAUGGUCUUCUGAUAUCCUUAAUGUCUUAGAGUUAUAUCAAUAUUUUGCU
rnacentral:lncRNA from 1 species